CGGGGUGAGUAAUGCUUGGGAAUCUAGCUUAUGAGGGGGAGUAACUACGGGAAACUGUAGCUAAUACCGCGUAGAAUCGAGAGAUGAAAGUGUGGGACCUUCGGGCCACAUGCCAUAGGAUGAGCCCAAGUGGGAUUAGGUAGUUGGUGAGGUAAAGGCUCACCAAGCCGACGAUCUCUAGCUGGUCUGAGAGGGUGACCAGCCACACUGGGACUGAGACACGGCCCAG
rnacentral:rRNA from 1 species